GCUCAGGGCUCAGCGGCAGGGAGCAGAGUGCGGGCAGUGGGUGACACAGGCCUCCCACCAAAGAAGGGGCCGGCUGGUCCAGGGCACGGACAGGGCUGGGGGCUGCGGGACACAGGAGGCUGGCUGGGAGCUCGGUGCAAGCAUCAGGGCUGUCAGGCCGGGCACCCAAAGUAAGCAAACGCGGGUGGUCACACGGCCUCGUCUCUUACAGCCUCCACCAAAGCCCCGUCGGUCUACCCACUGGCCCCCACCUGCGGGGGCACAUCCGGCUCCACCGUGUCCGUGGCCUGCCUGGUGUCCGGCUACUUCCCUGAGCCGGUGACUGUGUCCUGGAACUCGGGCGCCCUGUCCAACGAAGUGCACUCCUUCCCAUCCGUCCUGCAGUCCUCGGGGCUCUACUCCACCAGCAGCAUGGUGACCGUGCCCUCCAGCAGGUGGUCCAGUGAGACCUUCACCUGCAACGUAGACCACCCGGCCAGCAGCACCAAGGUGGACAAGACCGUUCCCAAAAUACCAAGAUCCCCUUGCCAGUGUUUCAAAUGCCCAGCUCCUGAAGUCCCCGGAGGACCCUCCGUCUUCAUCUUCCCCCCGAAACCCAAGGACAUCCUCAUGAUCGCCCAAAAGCCCGAGGUCACCUGCGUGGUGGUGGACGUGGGCCCAGAAGACUCUGCGAUCCAGUUCAACUGGUUCAUUGAUGACCAGGAGAUGCACACGGCCAAGACACACCCGAGGGAGGAGCAGUUCAAUGGCACCUACCGUGUGUUCAGUGCCCUUCCCAUCCUGCACCAGGACUGGCUGAAUGGCAAGGAGUUCACAUGCAAGGUCAACAACCCAACCCUCCCAUCGCCCAUUGAGCGGACCGUCUCCAAGGCCAAAGGGCAAGUCCAGGAGCCAAAGGUGUACAUGCUGCCCCCAACACCGGAGAUGCUGAGCAAGAACCCCAUCACUGUGACCUGCCUGGUCACAGACUUCUACCCAACAGACAUACACAUUGAAUGGCUGAAAAAUGGCCAACUAGUGUCAGAGAACAACUACAGCACCACCCCGUCCCAGCAGGACAACAACGGGGACUACUUCCUCUACAGCAAGCUCUCCCUGGGCAGGGAUUCGUGGGAACGAAGAGAUACCUACACAUGCACAGUGAUGCACGAGGCCCUGCCUAACCACUCCACGCAGAAAUCCAUCUCCCAGUCUCCCGACCUGCUGCUGGACGAGAGCUGCGUGGAGGCCCAGGAUGGAGAGCUGGACGGGCUGUGGACCACCAUCUCCAUCUUCAUCACCCUCUUCCUGCUCAGCGUGUGCUACAGUGCCACCGUCACCCUCUUCAAGGUGAAAUGGAUCUUCUCCUCGGUGGUGGAGCUGAAGCGGACAGUCAUCCCUGACUACAGGAACAUGAUCGUGCAGGGGGCCUAGGGAGGCCUCCAGGUGGGGAGCAGGGGAGCCUGGACCUGGGCCAGCACCAGUGCAUCAGCCCGCAGGGUAGCCAGCCGCCCAGGCCUGCACCUCCACCCUCUGGCCUCACUGCCCCCGACAUGUCUGCCUUCUGACCGCACUGCUACCACAGGCUGCGUCCUGCCCUGGCCCUCCCCUU